UAUCUAUAUUCACAAGCGCCACCAACCAGUCUAUUUUUCGACGUUUACAACUUUUUUCAGACGAAAACCUAAAAAACAGACCAUCUUUACUCCAUAGUCAAAGGAAAUCUAUAGACCCACAACAAAAUGUUCAAAAAAGCUCUUACAGAUGGGUGGAAUGUCAAAUUUGCAGUCGUUUAUAUGUGAGUGCGCAAGGAACCCGGGCGAUAUGGAACGGAGGACAUUUGAGUUAUUUUAUUAACAUUUUGAGUUUCGAAGUCUAUACCAUUCCUUUGUCUAUGCCGACAUCUUAAAAUUUGUUCAAAAAAGCUUCAACAAAUGGAAGAUAUGUCAAAUUUUCAAUUGUUUAUAUUUUAGUAUGCAUGCUACACAUGCGACAAAAGGGAGAACUUGAGCUAUGUUUUUAAAUGUUAAGUUUCAUAGUCUAUACAUAGACAAAGGACAUCUAUAAACUCAUAACAAUGUGUUCAAAAAAGCUCUAACAUGAGGGAGAAAUGUCAAAUUCUCAGUCGUUUUUAUGUGAGUGCGCAAGGAACCCGGGCGACGUGAAACGGAGAACUUUUGAGUUAUUUUAUUUUUUACUUUGUAUUUUGCCGUACUAUAAUAAGCUUAAUUAUGUAUUUGGUUGAACUGAAUACAUUAAUGAACUUUCACUUUGGUUUUCAAUGUUCAUCGGAUGUUGUCCAAAUUUGUCGAAACUGAAAUGUAAGAUAAAAUAUAGGGAUACAAUUGAUUGCACAAGCUUGAA
rnacentral:sRNA from 1 species